rnacentral:rRNA from 1 species
GUGGGGAAUAUUGCACAAUGGGCGCAAGCCUGAUGCAGCAACGCCGCGUGAGGGAUGACGGCCUUCGGGUUGUAAACCUCUUUUAGUAGGGAAGAAGCGAAAGUGACGGUACCUGCAGAAAAAGCACCGGCUAACUACGUGCCAGCAGCCGCGGUAAUACGUAGGGUGCAAGCGUUGUCCGGAAUUAUUGGGCGUAAAGAGCUCGUAGGCGGCUUGUCGCGUCUGCUGUGAAAACCCGAGGCUCAACCUCGGGCCUGCAGUGGGUACGGGCAGGCUAGAGUGCGGUAGGGGAGAUUGGAAUUCCUGGUGUAGCGGUGGAAUGCGCAGAGAUCAGGAGGAACACCGAUGGCGAAGGCAGAUCUCUGGGCCGUAACUGACGCUGAGGAGCGAAAGCAUGGGGAGCGAACAGGAUUAGAAACCCCUGUAGUCC